GAAUAUUAAAAUAUGAUGACUAUCAACUUAUGUGAGGGAAUGAAACCAGACUACUCACAUGAUCGCCACCCAUUGCAGGAACUAUGACAAGUGGGACAAGAACGAGCGAGCCCAACAUUGAAAGAAAAUGUUGAAAUCCAUAGAAG